GCCUGGUCCCCACUGGAACCCAGGGAACCCAUCCACACUGCUAGAUAUACACAGAAACCCUCCCCUCAUACAAAUAAUAUGAACAGCCCCCACACACACAACACACAAUCCCCACAAACGCAACAAUAUACAUACAUGCACACAACCCCACAUGCAGCCUCUCACAUGCAAUACCCCACACAGCCCCCACACACUACCAAACACACAAUGGGACAUAUCCAUC